UAAUCCCGGGUGAGAGUGCUUGGUGCCCGCCCCUUGGGCAGGUCUGGGUGGAAGUCCUGCCCCUGCGAUCUGGGCCUGUCCACCUUGCCCUGAUCUCACCCUUAACUCUAGUCUGCAACCUACUAAAGUUGUGCAACUAGGAUCGUGUCCUUUGCGUUUCUGGUUCGUCUUGAGAGUCUUCUGUGUUUGGAAGAAGACACACACAGCAUGCUGACAGAAUUGUCUUUUUUCACCUAAUCUUGUCUCCGAGGGACUCUCCCGUUCAACUUCCUUUUGUGUGCUUGCUUUACGGAGUUUCUCCAGCUGGAGAGAUGGCUCAGAGGUUAAGAGCACUGACUGCUCUUCCAGAGGUCCUGAGUUCGAUUCCCAGCAACCACAUGGUGACUCACAACCCUCUGUAAUGGGAUCUGAUGCCCUCUUCUGGUGUGCCUGAAGACAGCUAUAGUGCACCCAUAUACAUGAAAUAAAUAAAUCAAAAAGAAAAAAAAAAAAGAAAAAGACAGGGCUGGAGAGAUGGCUCUGUGGUUAAGAGCACUGACUGUUUUUCCAGAGGUCCUGAGUUCAAAUCCCAGCAACCACCUGUCAACCAUCUGUAAUGAGAUCUGAUAUCCUCUUCUGUCUGAAGAUA